UGAGAGCACGGUGAAAAUCCAUAUAGACUCCCAGGGGGCGCUUAGCUUGGGAAAUAAUCCGAUUACGUCUGCUCGGUCGAAACACAUCGACGUGGUCUGGUCUGGGUUGACACUACUGCAAUUAGCGGUUUAAGGUCCUGGGUUCGAUUCCUGGGGAGACCCCCGAAUUAGUCGGGAGCGCGAGAUUAUGGCUAGCUGCUGAGAUGUGGAGUUGAGGUCACAGUUGAUGGACCAGAUUCGCACGCUAGAUUGGUGGCGAUUGCCGAACCCUCCGUCUCUUCGGGUGUUCGGGUGAAUGGAAGAGGAGGGGUCCCUGAAGGCUGGAUCCGCCGCCUUGGACUUACAGUUCGUAUGGCGAAGCACAGUGUGGUAGUGGUGGAUGGUGCUAUAAGGUGAUAAAUGAUCUAGAACUGACAAUGUGAUAAAGCGGCCCAGAAGCCUCCCACUCUGUAACAUUACAUUACAUUACAUUACAUCGACGUGCAGCACCACAUAGUGUGUGACAGGGUGAAUAGCGGGGAGGUGCAGUUGGAGUACUGCCCUACAGAGUGGAUGGUAGCGGAUGCGCUCACGAAGGCACUGGGAGAAGUGAAGUUCAAACGGUGCAGAGAAGCUAUGGUCGUUGUAUGAAAUGGCGGAGCAAAUGUGCUUCUACGAGGGGGCGUGUUGAAGGGCGGUCCUAUCGCAACGUAGAUAGGUGGUGGUAGUUCGGCGAUGAAUCCGCCGUGAUAGGCGAUGCCUCGGCCGUGCCUCGACCUUCCUUCAUAGGAAUCUCCUAAAGUCUUCUUGCCGCUCACCACUAACCCACAGACUGUAACCCUUAUAUCGCGACCAGUCUCCUUGCCUUCAUAUUCUUAACACGCGAGGCGAUGGCAAUGCAGGUGCGUAAAAAAAUCCAAUGCAAUUUUACAAUCAAACGAAGUAAAACUUGAAACAUAAAAAGCAAGCUGUGCACCCUGGCCAUUUCUGCAGUACCGUGCCAUAUGGAAGAGUUUAAGCAGGGAUACUGCGUUUGAACACCUUGAUUCAAGCAUCUACAGAUGCGACUGUGGGGCGGUCGAUGAUAAAAUGCACGUUGAGAUAGGUGAACCAAUGGUUCACCGUCCACACUUGCAGCGCGCCAGGGAUCUUCAAUGCCAUAAAUACCAGGGGCUUUCACAGCUAUGAAGCACAACCCAAUAAGCAGGACAUGCCUCGUGAAACGAUGUCGACGUAUGAUAUUGAGCCAAAAGAUAUUAACAUGUGCACAUAACAAUAGACUCAAUCAUACAUAGCCCGAGAAUUAAGAACAAGCCCUUGGGCGGAGUAGCUAACACGUCACUGGGCGGAGUAGCUAAUGGAUCCAAUGGAUCACCAUCCACACUGGCAGCGAAGCAGAGACCUUCAAUGCCAAAAAUACCAGGGGCCUUCGCAGCUAUGAAGUACAACCCAAUAAGCAGGACAUGCCUCGUGAAACGAUGUCGACAUAUGAUUUUGAGCCAGUAAUGUUAGCUUGUGCGCAUAGUAGAAGGAUUAUUCAUACAGUUUCCGGCAUUUAAUCUACUUGUUUUGUAUAAUUACGCAUAUUUGUCGCCACGUGACUGCCUUUGGAAGCGUCCCUCAAUGUCGUGCAGUUGGUUCUGGAGGAGACGCGGGGCCUUGGCCAUGCCAUCCAUUCCUCUUCAUGGAGGCCGUCUUCGUCAAUUUUUGCAGAUUGUUUUAUCGUAAUUUUACUGAUCAGCAGACGCCUGUCAGGAGCAUGGCUGGGGCUCCUGGAGCGUAUGGCUUCUGUGAUCAGGAGCAUGACCGCCAGCCUUCUCAGACUACCUAGUGCACCAAUGGAUCACCAUAUCGACAGUGCCCGUCUCGAUGGCAAGCUGUAUUGACUGGUAUGCACGACACGUUGCCUGAAUAAUGCAAAAGAGGUAAUGGCUUGAGGCGCAUGUGGACCUGGGAUUAAGGCGAACCUGACCAAUUUGCUGACCAACGGGCCGGAGCUCGACGCCAACGAGGCAUCGGAUGCAAUAAUGGCGCACCAGCUUCACGAGAAUGGGCUGAAGGACCUUGCGACCGUGAAGGCAGUGACUGACGUAAGGUCGCAUUGGAUGCGGUUGAGUAGCAAGAGCGUGAAACCCUGCUGGAUAAAAUAUAAUUAAGCUCCUUCAGCAAAUGCUGAGCACAAGUUUUGUUGGGGGUCGGGACCUAUAUACUAUAUACUGGCUUACGCAAGGUGUAGCUGCGCUUGUCGAUGUGGCACACCGGAAUGCACACCGGAAUGCACACCGGAAUGCACACGUACUCAACACACCCACGAGGCACCACCAAGUCUUCGAGGUUUAUGCAUCCUUUUCAUUGUAGCCGUGCUAGACACAUGCCCAUACUAUGGAUUAGGGUGCCACAGGAGAAAGCAGGGGCUGCCUUAGUAAAGGGGUCCGCUGGGUCCGCUGGGGUCCGCUGGGGUCCGCUGGGGUCCGCUGGGGUCCGCUGGCGAAGUUAACCACCCUGUAACAACAUACAUACACCCAUACACGCAUUUCAUGUCCACAUCCAAGAGCAUACCACAUGAACAACCUCAUGCUUUGCUUGUCUCGGGAGCUUUUUACCUCACCCCAACCAAAACCCAAUACGCCUAGUUUUCUGAGCGAUGUUGGUGCCUUUGUUCUCUCCAUGUUGGUGCCUUUGUUCUCUCCAUGAUGCGGUGCAGGGACUGUGCUUGUGGAUGCAAAACCGGCGAUUUCAUCAUUGUGGGGGCUGGCACCUGACCUGACAGCAGUGAAGGCCCUUCAGCUCACCAAGGGAGCUUGUGCCCCUGCUGUGCAGCGGGAUGAGGACUCCUAUGAGGACUCCAGCUAGGGGGGCAAGAAAGUGCAUCACUGGCACACUAUGGCAGUUGCAUGUAUUCAUUAGAAGUUAAACAUGUGAGUGAUGCAUGCCCAAUAUCAUUUUGGACCUUGUGUUCGAGCUGUUCACCCCAGGGGUCCCAGGGUUCAUGUAUAUGUUCAUGGACCAUGCAAACACACGUGUCCAUGCAAUUUCCUUUCGUGAAGAGUGCGUGGACGGGCUGGCAGAGAUCAAUGAUAUGGAAGGGGAACAUGUUUCUUAAACCAGUGGACAGAUUGAGGAACAGCCACAGCCUACAAGGGGCUGUUUUUUGCAAGAUGUGUGCAUAAGUAUCAGGCAGGAAAUGUGAAGCAAGCCGUGGUACUAUUGAAGUCAGGUUACAGCUGUAUUCGUGAUGUGCUAGAUUGGCCAGUGUGUUUUCUGCAGGAGCGCAUCUCGUUUGUCAGGCUGUUACCCACAGGUGCCUCUGCAGAGCUUCAAUCGGGCACUCGUGUACAGAAUCCACAUGGAAGUGUAGUUUUAUAUAUGGGGCCUGCCACUGAGGAGUUCGCAUAUAUUUUUUAGCCGUGUUGGGAGUGUGCCAGGGAUGAAUGCAUAGAUAGGCACACACAAUGCCCCCUCCUUGUGCACCACGGUGAUGGGUGAUGAAGAGGCUGCCCAGAAUGAUGGGCUGUGAAAAGGCAUUAGGUCCCCCGGUUGCAUGUAUUUGUUUGCAAAUCGCCAUGAUGGAAGGUACUGUCUGGGAAUGAGAAGCAAUGUGUGUGUACAGUACAGUUGGAAUUGAACGUUUAUGGCUAGGAUCCAGGGAGGUUGUACCUGAGAGUUUUGAGGCUGCUUAAGAAUAAAGCUCGCAGGGUGGAUGGACAGAAAACACACUUAGGGUAGAUAGUUUCCUAGCCUACGUGGGCCCAUGUGUGCCUUAGUGCGCCCAAUCCUCGUUUACAUGUAAUUUCCUUUUCCUAGGUGUUACUUGCUUGUCUUGCUAUUUCCUAUGGUUUACCCAUGUAUCCAUCGAAAGCAACUUCCAUCCUGCCACUCUCUCCGUCAAGCUCAAACGGACGGGCGGGGACCAUUUCAUUUAUGCAGAUGCAGUUCACAUUAUAAGAAACAGGAUCUAGUCACAUAACUAAGUAUGACAUGGCAUAACAACUUUCUAACCCAGACUAAACGGUAGAGCUGGAGGGGCUGGGAUUUGCUCGUUCUACACAAACAGCAGUACCCUAAUCGCCAAGCAUUGCAGUGCCUUAAUCUUAUUACAGCACCAGUGUACUAAUCCUGAUCCUGGAUAUGGGGUAUUUGUCCAUAUCCUAGGGGCGGAGUUCUAAUCCUAAUCCUGUGGGUGAGGUCCCAAUCCUAAUCCUACACUAGGGUCCUCAUCCUAAACCUGUCCUCAACUUUGUAUCCUAAUCCUGCCCCUCUUUCCGAAUCCUAAUUUCUGCCUGACGCAAGGUGGCUCUACGCCAAGAAUUCAGCCGCUUCAAGAUGGUCAACGGCGAGCCACUUUCGAUGUAUUUCGCGUGUGCGAGGCAGCUGCAAACGGACUUGUUGGGUGUCAGCCACGUAAUCAACGACUCCGAGCUGGCGUAUACCGUCCUUGUUGGUCUACCCAAUCGGUACAGCGUGGUGACGACAACACUACUGAUGCGCGACGGCGAUUUGGACAUGGCGAACGUCACAUCGAAGACGGCAAACGGUGGGUCAGGCACAUCGACCGAGUCGGCAGCGUUUGCAUUUGUCGGCGGUUCGACGUCCGGCGCUUCUAAUUCUGGUUAUGGUAGCCGGGGGCCGGCUAACAACAGCUCGGGACACAGGCGAAAGCAGAUCGUUUGCUACUACUGUAAUAAGCCUGGGCACGUGGAAAAGGACUGCAGGCAGCUUAAAGCGCUCAAGCAGUCGUCAAUUUCUGGAUAUAAGGAUGGCAACAACAGUGGCAGCGGAGCUAGCAGCAGCAAGCCAGGAUCCGGUGGAUCAGCUAGGGGGCCAGGUGUUCCGCGGCAGGUAGCGUUCGUAGCAUACAACAACGAGUACACUCUGAAGUCGGAUGGGGUGAAUGGCUUAGGGUGCCCCUCUAGCAGGGGAGAGCAGGGAAUUGCCUCGGGAAGGAGGCCACUGGUGAAGCUUAACCUCCCUGUAACUGUUGAGGAAACGGUCCUCUCCCAACUCGUGUGGUUGUCGACCAGGGGAUUUGACCCCGGGUCUGCGCCUGACUAAUGGGGAAGACUUACCACAGAACCUUAUGGGGCUACCGAUGCAUAUCCGGUAGCUAAGUGAUAGACAUUAGGGCACCGUCUGGACGGCGCAGUGAGAUCGCGGAAUGUACGUGCAGUUAGAUCGCGGAAUGUACGAGUUUUCCGCUAGCGCCGGUAUUUAGGGCGGUGACUGCGCCUAUUAGUUUAUCUCACAACGAUCGGUAUUCCUACCAGGAAUCUCCUCAAGUCCUGCCGAACGCUAACAAUACUCUUUACAUUACUUGUAACAAGUUUAUCGUGCUAAAUAUCUUCGCCACCGGCAAUCCUUCCGGAAUAACAAUCAGCGUUAGCCGUCACCGUCGCCAAUUCUUCAAUAGGUUAUGAGCCCCGUUUAGCGCCGACAGUUAUCGCCAAAUUGUUAUUUCUAUCCCUCAUCGAAAAUGGUUAAGGACAAGCUUGAUGAGUCGCUGGAUCUCAACAACUACUCUACCUGGCAAAUUCGGUUCAGCGCGUUGUGCAUGGAGCUUGGGCUUGAGCAAUCCCUGCUCGCCGAGCCGUGCAACGAGGAGCAAAUUCGACAGUCAAGGAAGGUCAUCAAUCUGCUCAUCAAGAACGUCAAGGAUCAUCAUUUGCCGAUGGUUACCGGUGCUGCCAACGCGAAGAAGGCCUGGGACGCCUUGGGAUCUAUGUUUGCUGCCAACAACAACGCCCGCAAGGUGUCUCUACGUCAAGAAUUCAGCCGUUUUAAGAUGGUCGACGGCGAACCUCUUCCGAUGUACUUUGCGCGUGCAAGGCAGCUGCAAACAGAUUUAUUGGGAGUCGGCCACGUAGUUAACGACUCCGAGCUGGCGUACACCGUGCUAGUUGGUCUANNNNNNNNNNNNNNNNNNNNNNNNNNNNNNNNNNNNNNNNNNNNNNNNNNGGUGACGACUACAUUACUUAUGCGCGACGGCGAUUUGGACAUGGCGAGCGUCACAGCAAAGCUUCUCUCUAUCGAGACGGCUAACGGUGGGUCGGGCAAGCCUACCGAGUCGGCAGCCUUCGCGUCUGUCGGCGGUUCGACGUUCGGUGCUUCUACUUCUGGUUAUGGUAGCCGGGGGCCGGCUAACAACAGCUCGGGACACAGUCGGAAGCAAGUCAUCUGCUACUACUGUAAUAAACCUGGGCACGUGGUUAAGGACUGCAGGCAGCUUAAAGCGCUGAAGCAGUCGUCAAAUUCUUGCUACAAGGGUGGCUACAGCAACAGUGGUAACGGAGGUAGUGGCAGCGGAGCUAGCGGCAGCAAGCCAGGAUCCGGUGGAUCAGCUAGGGGGCCAGGAGUUCCGCGGCAGGUAGCAUUCGUGGCAUACAACAGCAAUCGUCCGACGGAAUGGUUUCUGGACUCAGCCGCCACUCACCACAUAACGUAUGACCGCUCAGAACUUUUCAACGUGCGGUUGUUGGAGCCGUGGGAGCGCUUCAACAUCAUGGGCAUCAAGGGACAAUCUCUUCGACCGACUGAAGUUGGCACGCUUACGAUUCGGUCUAACGUCAACGAUAAACAGGCCAUCACUUUCAAGAAGGUCUACGUCGACGAGGAGGCCACCGCCAAAAUCAUAUCGGUCCGCAUCAUUGAUGAUCGUGGAGGCAGUGUGGUCUUCGGCGGCGGACAGGCGAAAGUAUACGUACAGAACCAGUUGGUGCUGACUGGAAAGCGGGAUGGGGACUUGUAUCCCGUCUGCUACAGCAGUGGAGGUACGGGAGCUCUGAAGAGGAUGCAGUGUGAAGACAACAGGAUACCUUCUGGUGGUGAUGCAGUGUGUGCUGCCGUGGGUAUCGGAGCUGAACGUGCAGCACUUUGGCACCGAAGGUAUGGCCACUUGGGAUACAGCAACCUUGAGACGUUGCUGCGUCAUAAUAUGGUAGCUGGAUUUGAUGUUGACCGACACAGCAUACAAUCAGCCAGCACGUGUGUGUGUGAGACUUGCGUCCUUGCUAAACAUACACGUGGUCCUUUUCCGUUAUCUGGGCAUAAGGCAGCGCAACCUCUCGCGCUCAUUCACAUGGUCUGGUCUGGGUUGACACUACUGCAAUUAGCGGUUUAAGGUCCUGGGUUCGAUUCCUGGGGAGACCCCCGAAUUAGUCGGGAGCGCGAGAUUAUGGCUAGCUGCUGAGAUGUGGAGUUGAGGUCACAGUUGAUGGACCAGAUUCGCACGUUAGAUUGGUGGCGAUUGCCGAACCCUCCGUCUCUUCGGGUAUUCGGGUGAAUGGAUGAGGAGGGGUCCCUGAAGGCUGGAUCCGCCGCCUUGGACUUACAGUUCGUAUGGCGAAGUACAGUGUGGUAGUGGUGGAUGGUGCUUUAAGGUGAUAAAUGAUCUAGAACUGACAAUGUGAUAAAGCGGCCCAGAAGCCUCCCACUCUGUAACAUUACAUAAAAAAAAGAAGAUGGUGGUAAUG
rnacentral:lncRNA from 1 species